GCGGAGACAAGUUCAAAAAAGUGUAUAAUAUCAUAAUAUCUCCAAUUUUAUUAUAUUGAUCGACACGUUGAGAGGAUUUGUGAGGGAAAAUAAACCCCAAUGAAGAGAAUGUCACGAGAAGGCACGACCUGUUGAACCUCCGUCAUCAUUUAAACGCUUUAUUAGGUGUUUUUUUUUUUUUUUUUUUUUUUUCGUCGAGUUUGCGAUCUGACUGCAGUCCGGUCGGUCUCGAGAGGGAGGCGCGAGACGGGCGCUAGUUGAGUUGAGUCGAGUUGAAGCGUCGAGGCGAGGCGAGGCGGGGGCGGGGAGCGCGCGGUGCGCUCUCGCGCCAAUGAGGGCAUCCCGGGCUUGGCAGGAACGCGUCCACGUGACCGUGGAGAGCACCGACACACGCCGGCGGGGCUCCUUCUCAAACACACCGCCGACAGGAGGAGAAGCGCGAAGGGGAGCGAGCGACAGAGAAGACGUCCACGGUGACACACACUCGUCCACACACCUCCUCGACGUGCAGAAGAUGGACGGCUACACGCGCACCGAAGACGAGCUCUUCCCCUCAUGCCUGCUCACCUCCACCUGGGAGAACCCCCACCACGAGCAGCUUUGUUUCUCGACCACGUCCACGCGGAUCUUCGUUUCAACUCUGAUUGCCGUUCAACCGACUCUUCGUCUCCUGACCUUACCCAUGGAUUCCCGCUCUGACCCCGACCGCCGAUCACCCGACCCUCUGCCUGUCCCCAAUACCGAGAACUUGCAUGAUCCUCUGACUCUAGACGAACGACUCCGCACUUGGGUCUUUCUGUCCCGGUGACCUGACUUGACAGGUUUCUUCAUACUAGCUGGAUAACUGUGUUUUUUAUGAUUAUUAUUUACUGUUUUUUAUUUGAGACUUUUGUCCAAUGUGCCU
rnacentral:lncRNA from 1 species